UUUUUUGUUUGUUUGUUUUGUUUUGUUUUGUUUUGUUUGGCCACCCUGCAGCAUUAUCGAUUUCCUAGGCCAGAGAUCAGAUCCGAGCAACAGUUGGGACCUACACCACAGAUGUGGCAACGCCAGAUCCUUCACCUACUUACUGCACCAGGCUAGGGGUCAAACAUGUAUCCCAGCACUGCGGAGACACCACCGAUCCUGUUGUGCCACAGCAGGAACUCCAGAAAUAGUAUCUUUUUAAAGUGACAUAUGGUUUUUGAAAAAUGAAGAUCCUGCACUGUAGUAAACAUUAGUGGACAUAGGAAAGAGCCCAGAUGCAGCUAAGGUGGAAAUCCGGGGGAAGGCAGAUCUCUCCUAAGAGGAAAAUGAACAAGAGGGUUUUGGGUUGAUGGCUUGGUUUAAGAUUGUUACUUUCCUUUGGUUUUAACCAUUCACACAAGCAUACUUGAAGAAUACAUGUUUUAGAAGACAGUUAAGGAAUGAGAUUUUAAGGAAAUGUCUUCAGUUCCAGAAAGACAUAGGUGUUCUUAAUCACCUGUGGUUUCUUUUGCAUGAAUAAAAUUGCCAAGAGUUCAUCUUCCGAAGAAGAAAAAGUUCAAGUGUAAGACCUGAGAUGAAUUGUAAGGUUAUCAAAAAGGCUUAUACGUUGGGACCUGUAUGCUUGCUGAGGGAGUAGCCAUUGACCUUGAAAGCAACCAGUUGUAUUGACUUUGUUAUGUUGGCACCAGGAAAGCACAGAACAGACUCUCUUGAAUAACAGGAGCCUUGCUGGACAUUUCGGUAUCCUGGAAGGGAGUUGGGGCCAUUUCUUUAGCAGAAAUUGAAAUCGUUUUCUUAACAAACAAUCCCAUCGAAGAUUGGAAAACUCUAAUACAGAACUUAAGAACAAGUGUACACAUAAUACAUAAAUAUUAUCAUAGUUAUGUUACUAAAGAACUACUGUAACUGUGGUUGUUGAUUGUUUCCACUUGCUUAGGAACUGAAGUUACAUCUCUUCAGAUAGGAGCGGUGAUCUAUGUGAUAAAGUCCUUGUGUGGCAGAAAUGUGAGGUUAGGAAUGCUUAUACCAUUUGCUUUCUCCAAGUGUGCUUUACUCUUUUAUGCUACCCUUCACUUCUGGCUUAAACAUUGUCCAGGAAAUUCACCAACACUGAACAAAGAACCAGCUCCCUUACUUGAGUUUUAUCCUUCCUCCUCUAAAAUUGACAUUCCUUGAGGCAAUGUCCUGAAAUGACUUGUCCUACUCUGGCUAAAUGGUAGUGAUCUGUGUUUAACCCCAGCAGUUUAUCAAGCAGGUUCAUUUUAUAUCAUGUCAGUGUGUAGAGAGUGACGGGAAUACAAAAGGAUAAGGAAGUUAUUUUUUCAAUGUUUAUUUUUAUUUCAUGUGAAGCAUGAUUUUGUGUACUGACAAGUAAAUGAUAUAGGUGUAGGGGAAAGAGGAACAACCACCAUAUUAUUUUGCCAGAAUUCUCAUGUUAUAGUAUCCAAAAAAUGCCGAGAAAGAUGACAUUGCAUGUUAUAAUGUUCCCUCGCAAAUAAUGGCAAAGCUUUAAUCAACUGAUAAACCAGAUGCACUCAGGAUUGAAACGCAGCUUUCAAGGUUGAAAUGCAGCAAGUGGUUCAUUGAACACUGCACAGAAGGUAAAUGAAGUGUAUAUUUUCCAAUCACAAUUGGAAUUUUAAGUGAGUGGAAUGGAAUAAACUCAGUUUGGAAUUUGAAAUAAAUUCAGCUUGGAAUGUGUCUUAGAGACCAAGGUUUAUACAAGAGCUAUACAAACCUCUCAGCAUGAAACAUGACACAAGGUGAAAUUUUCCUGGCAUCUUAGAGGAGCCAGAUAUGGAUUUAUGCAGGACCAAGGCACAGACAAUUGGUCAAGAGCUAUUUGUUUCUAUUUGGGGACAGAAACCUAGAGGCUUAUUUAAUACCCUGGGGUGGGAGUAAUAUUCCACCUCGUAGAUAGAGCUGUGUACUCUUUCUCAGAAGGUGGUAUUUUUAGUUUGAUGUUAUACCAAUAAAAUGUUUCCAUCCUAUUUUCAUUUUUCUUUCUUUUGAUGUCAGCGUCAGUAGUUCAAAAUAGCUUCAUCUAUCACACACAGUAAAAUUGAUUAGCAAAAAGGAGAAGUGGUUGGAGAAAACACAAAAUUCAACUUCUGGUAAUUCAGGAGUAGCCACUAGCAGCAAUUUACCUGCCUCGUUGCCAAAGCAGUUUUCUCAAAUUAUGAAUUCUCAUGAGUGUAUAAGUUUGAGGGGAAUCAUAAAAGAGACUAGACUUUGUAUGCCAAGCCAAAGAAGCAGUUGGUAACUAACAGUACAUCUUUUUGCUAAGGUAAGUUUAAGUCGCAAGAAGACUUAAUCUACAGAGGAGAACACCCUGCAUAUUUCUUAGGAGCUUAGAAAUGCUGAGUUAGGGCUUCAGGGAAAUGCAAGGUGCUAGACUUCAAAAAAAAAAGAGAUCAUCUGUAGACUUAGCACACUGGAAAAAUGGAGAAAAUAAAACGGGUGCAGGGCUGUGGAUUAAAUAUUCGUAGUUAGAGUUUGAGCAUUUCAGAAGUGAAAUGACGAAGUAGGUGAGCCCCAGGAACACAGGAUAAUCAAGUUUGGUGGAUUGCUUGUUUUGAGUUUAUAGUUAUUUGUAGGGAUGGAGUCAGUCCCUUGGACUACAUAUUAUAUUUUUCCGCUAAGCAGUAUUUCCAUUAAACAGUAGCUUGUGAUUGUUUGGCCUGCCUUUGCAUUCAGGUAAAAAUCAAGCUAAUACCCUGUAAUUUAGCAAAUAUUUGUUUUCCUGGCAGUGGCGGACCUGCCAGUGUUACUGUUUCAGGGGCAGAUCUGCAGUGUUUACGGUUUCCACCACUUGGAGCUUUCUAUGUAUUCAUCCCUGGAUUAGACUCAAAGUAAGCUGAUUUCAUCAAGCCACUGGGUAAUUCUGACCAUUUCAUCAGGCGAUUUUAGAACUGUAUUAUUGCAGCUGACCUGUAGACAUAAGGAAUUACUGGGUCACCCACUCACGGAAAUGUCUUUUGAUUAUGAACACACUUGCAGCAUGUGUCCAUUGAAGGUAAGGGGGAAAAUACAACAUGGUCACCUUUAAUGCCGGUUUUAGUUAAAUAUAAAAGUGGGAUUUCAGGCAUAGCUCAAUUGUAUCUUCUGAAAAUUAAGUAGUUAAGCAAUUCUGUGUAGAAACAAGAUGUCUUUGAGGAACUGAACAUUCGGAUGAAGCAACCGUGUCCUUCAAACCACAUCCUUCCUGCUGCCUGUGGGAAAGAGGUGGUAUUUGUGUUGGGCUCUGAGCACACGCAGAAUAGAUCUGUGUGUAUUUCCAUAAAUAAAAGGACAUUGUGUGUGUGUUUGGCACCUGUGAUGGCAAGAGCAGUUGAUUGCUUCCGAAAGCUUUGUUCCAACUCCAGGAUCAGCAGGAUUUUUAAACACUGAACUAGGAACUGGACACUAAAAAUACAUACACAGGCGACCUCUGAUAGCAUUAGGUUUUGGAAGCAGGGUGAAGGCUUGCAAAUUGUGUUACAGCUGUGUCAUUACUCUAAUUAUUAUGGUUCAGGGGAAGGGAUUUGACAUGCUGUAUAUCCGACCUGCAGAUUCAUGAGCCAAGUUGUAGUAGCCGUUUGAGUUACUGCUUGUUGUUUCAAUGAAGAUGAUCCAGAAUCUAUAGAAUAAGAGUGUAUAUUUUGCUAAAACUGAAAACCUGGCCCCCGCUUUUUUUUGCUUAUGUUGUUUGUGUUGUGUUUCAUAAAGCCAUCAGCAGUUAAUGAUCUUGUGAUUUACUCAGACAGAAGAGCACCCACCAAAAAAAAAGGUUGAAAACAGAAUUGAAAGUUAUGUUACAACAUAAACUUGGCUUGUGAAAAAGAAACAGUAAUUUUCUAAUGCCACCCAGUUUUCUCGGGGUGAAAAUCAGGACCUUUCCAUGUUGCAAAUAGAUACCAAGUGAACAAAGAUCUUAGUGUGACAUUUUAAAUGCUCCUGAUAUUUUUAAAUGCUUACUCCCAAGCCUUAAAGGGUUUUGUCCGUAGAGAGAUGGGAAAUUUGAGUGGUUUUUUUUUUCUUUUUUAGAUUUUCUAUUAUGUGAUUCUCUAGAAGUUUUAUGAUAAAGUUCAUCAACAGGCAUGAUUUAAAGAAAAAACAGUUAUAAAAUUCAUGUUGGAAAUCGUGAAUAUUGUGUUAGAUCCUUACAUCAAAGUGGUCAUAGCCUUGAUAGAAAGAAAAUACAGACAACCACUAUCCCCUUAGGUUUAUUUGAAUGCACUUUUUUCUAUGUGAAUAAAAUUUUCUUCUUGAAAUAUCUGUAGCAGGGAGUGAUUUUUGUUGAGAGGCAGUGUGCAUUUUUAAACUUUAUUCCUAUUUUAUUUAUACUCCACUGAAAUAGAUUUAAGAAACAAAAUAUAUUUAAGCAAGGAUCUCCAUUACUUAUGAGAAUUAUGUAUUGUCAAAUUUUAAGUCAUCAUUUUAUUCAAGCAAUCCAAUUAAGGGAGUCUCUUUUGAAGAAGUGGGAAACGUGUCAAGCUCAAACUCUGUGCGGUGUAAAGGUGUCUAUUUCUCAGAAAACCCAGUGUGUUUCAGUUCUUAGAGCAGACACUAUAAAAGAGUCCGUGUCUAAUCCUGUGAGUGAAAUUCUCUUAAAAGAGAAUGCUGAAUACAGAAGAAGGAAUUAGUGAUAGCUAAGAAAAUGUCCUUCUCCAUUCACUUUACAGUAUGGCCACUGUUCCCCCCAGCUCAGAUAGCUCUACUUGGAGCACAAUCCCAGGGAUUUCAGGAUCAAGUGGGAAGAAACACAUCUCAGUGACAGGCAUGGCAUUAAACCUGCAGAAUGGCAUUUUAUUGAGUACUUAUUUGUGUUUUCAGGGCUUCUAAAACACAAUAAUGUGUAACCUAUGAGUGAUAUAAAUGCAUUUCAUUAACAGGCAGUACAGAGUUUCAAACGGAAGUAAG
rnacentral:lncRNA from 1 species